rnacentral:lncRNA from 1 species
ACCUCCCCAAACCAUUCAUCAAAAUUACCACCUCCAGCAAACCAUUUCUCGAGCCUCAAGUUUACGUCUAGUUGAGAAGCUCAGUUCAUCACAAGGUGAGGCAUCGAUGAUUUAUUUUCCUUCUGCAGUAUAGACCCUUGUGGUCUGGCCCUUUUCCGGAUCCCGUACAUAGUGGGGGCUUAGUGCACCGGACUGCCCUUUAGUUCAUUUCAUUGUCUAAGAUGGAUAACCAAUAAGAUUUUUUAUAUGGCCUAUUUUACUUCCCAUAUGAAAAAUUGUUCUCAUCAUCUUUUUAUGUUCAAUUUCAGGUAGACAUAAAAUGAACAGUGGAGAUUGGAUGUGUGCUGCAUGCCAACACAUAAAUUUCAAGAAAAGGGAUGCAUGCCAACGAUGCAGCUGCCCUAAAUAUGCAACGUCGGCUGAUGUUGCCAUGUAUGGACUAAACAAAACAGAAGUCUUAGCUGGAGAUUGGUAUUGCAGUGCUAUGAACUGUGGUUCUCACAACUAUGCAAGCAGAACAAACUGCUAUAGAUGUGGUGCCUUAAAAAGUGAUUAUUAUGGUAUCGGGGCAGGAAUGAUGGCAUCAGCCGGCUAUGGAUAUGGUGCAAGUGCUAUUCCUGGUUGGAAGAGUGGUGAUUGGAUUUGCACCAGGUUAGUUUACAUUUACUUCAAUGACAACAACUACUUCUCAAUUCCUACCAAGUCGGGGUCGGCUACAUGAAUCUUGUCGUUCCAUUUAAGCUCAUUCUGGUCCAAUAUUGCAACAACAACAACAUCUGUGCCUUAAUCCGAAGCAAGUUGGAGUCGGCUAUAAUGAAUCUUCACUAAUCAUGUCGCUGAAAUUAAACUCAUUUCAAACAAAUAUUAUAAAAAUAGAAUUUAAAAGUACUAGACGUUUUCACUAUAUUUGUUAAUGGCAUAUAAAUCUCCGAUAAGACUAGGACUCCUAGAAAACAUUGUAUUAUGAGGACUCAUGACAAGAUUGGCUAGUUUUAUGCUAACUGUUAGCCUGCCGCGAUUCUCCUCCUUUUACUACUGACAUACUAUCUUAGGGAUUUAAACUGAAAUAGCUGCCUUCUUGUUUGACAGAUCAGGAUGUGGUGAGCACAACUAUGCAAGCAGAGCUGAAUGUUAUAAGUGCAAAACACCUAGGGAUUUUGGUGAGCCUGAUACUGCAUAGUCGACAUUUUACUUUCCAACACCAUUUUUAUUUACUAACAUCUUGUUCAUUUUUCUGUUUUUCAGGAGGUGAUCUGAGAGAAAGUAACCUAUAUUGAGGGAUGUGGCGACAUGAAGUUAUUACUGAAGAUUUACCAGAACUCAUAAUCUUCAAUGACCCUUCUUCUUUUCCUCUUAGUUUUUCUUUUCUUCCUUUUCUUUAACAGUUUUUAGUAGUUAAUUGCUCAAAGAAGGGUUUCUAUUUCUAACUGCAUUGUAACUGUGCAAAGUGUUCAAUGAAUGAAAUCGCUUCAGAUUUUGCAUUCUUUCUGUCUUUCAAGUUUCAACAACAGCAUUUGUAGGGGUGGUCCAGUGAAUAAUGUUAUGUAGCCUCACAAUCACUAUGGAAGACAAUGUUAGAGUAUGCUCGAGCCUUAUAAAUGGACAAAAACAAUAAAAGAUAGUAGGCAUAUAAAGAGACCAACCAACUCUAAAUCCUAAAUCCUAAAUCCAGUGUUGUUGACUGUGGUUUAUGUGGCUUAUGUGAGUGUUCCCAACUUCCUUUAAACAACAAGAAAUUGAUCUCAGUUUCAAACUAGUUGAGAUUGCGUAUAUGAUCCUCGCAAUCCAUUUUGUCUCAUUUGCAUUUCACUCCAUUUUGGGGAGAAAACAAAGGAGAAAUCAUCACUCUUUUGCCUUAAGAAGAAAAUGAAAAGAAAUUUCUUUGGAUGUGUGAGAGUAAGGGGUGGUGGUGUUUCAACUUGUUUCCAAUUCACCGUCCCAAAAAUGAAUGUUACUUAGGUGCACAAGAUAUACAUUGACCAUUAUGGAAGCUGGUUCAGUACACUCGCGAAAAUGUGGAUGCAUGUGUCUUUGAGAAUCAAUACUCUUUUGUCAAGCUGAAGCUUUUGCAAUUGGCACUAAAGGUAGUUCUGCUAUAUUGUUAGUCUGUUACAAUGUACAUGACUAAACAUUUGUAAAUUUUGUAGGUUCUACUUUGCAAGUAUAUGUAUAACUAUGAUUGAAACUAUCAACGGUGUCAUAAGCUUGUGCUUGUGGGACAAAGAGUAUCACUUUUGCUACAAAAUUCCCCCGGCCAAAUUAAAAUAGAGUACUGGUCAUUGUUGUUAACAGUUUUGACUGGAAGAUCAGCUUUAUCCGCAUUCAUUUAUUUAAACGUUCUAGAUAUCAGGGAUUAAAACUUAGUUGACUAAAUAUUAGUUUAGUCGACUAGAUUCUGCACAGUGAACACUUAAAGAGAAGUAAACCAAGCAAACUGAAAGAUAACAGGACACAAUAAUUUUUAUACUGGUUCAGUUCCGGUGAGGUGUACUUACAUCCAGUUUUCCUUGGGUCAUAAGGGACUUCUUAGAUCUUUGAUAAUAGGUUAUAAUGAUGAUGGUUUUGGUUCGCUCACCAUCAACAACAUUCAAUGAUAAUGGCUUUUGUAAUGUUGACACAACUCUCUUUUUGUAUUUUAUCUCUUCCUAUCUUUAAUGACACUUGUAGACUCAAGAAUACAGUAUUUGUACUAAGAAUUAGAAAGGUUUAGAAUCAAUUUGUGUAGUUGCGCAUCCAAUCCUUGAUUAUGCCAGUCUUCUUAUAGACCAGAUUUUAGAGUUGUUGUUGAUUUGUUUUUGAUAUUUGAUUCAUGACUCGUGCCUUUAAUUCCUUCAAGAAGGAUGGGCUGGAUUUAAUAAUCUAGGGAGUGCUCCAAGCCGAGAUCUAGGGAGUGCUUCCAUGUUCCAUGCUUUGUCGAAGAAAGGAAUAGUUGAUGGGCUGGAUUAAUUUAUCGAGGGAGUGCUUUCCAUGCUCCAUGCUUUAUUGGGUAGAGGAACAACACUUUAAGUUGUCUCCCAUUACAUUGUAUUUCCCUUCCACUUUGAAUCUUCCUUCAUAUAGAAUCUGCUAUUUUUAUUUACAUGUGAGUUACAUGUAAGGCAAUAGUUCAAGAUACAUAGCCAUUGAGUGGAUCUUCAUUCCUUUUUGGCAAUGCUUGCUUCACCUGAAUCUGCAUACACUAAUAUAACGUUAGUCAAGACUUCUUUAUGGAUAUUUGAUCAUUAUUAAAAUUCUACAUUUAAUAAUCUCCCCCUUUUUGAUGAUGACAAUAAGCUAAAAAGAGUUUGACUAAUUUAUGGAUACUUCCCUGUUCUUUUCAAGUGUACUCCCCCGACUUUAAGCUGAUUUUUGAUUUGAUUUGAAUCUGCAUCUGCACUUUUCUUUUCAAGUGUGCUCCCCCUGUCUUUAAACUGGUUGUUGAUUUGAAUCUGCACUUAAGAAACUUGUAGUUCACCUGUAAUACACCUGUAACUCUUUUUCUUUCUUUCUCCCCCUUUGACAUCAAUAAAAAAAAUAGGAAAAACUACUUGCAGUAAUAGUACUAGCUAAGCAGGCAUAAAAUUUAUACAGCUAAGCAGGCAUAAAAUUUGUACAGCUAAGCAUUUAUAAUGAGUAUUAGUUAACUAAUGCUCACCCCAGACACAGCCAAAAGAAAAUAGUCUUAAACUAUCACACAAAGCAAAAAGGAUUGUCUUAAGCAUUCCUAAACAUUCAAUGCCUCCCAAGGAAAUAUUUCAGGGUGCUGAUCACUUUAGUGCAGAAGCUUUCAUAAGAGGUAUCAAUGUCUUUGGUGACUUUGGUUAGCUUCUCAGAAACAUCCUGCAUGACCCUGAUUUCUUGCCUCCUUGUGACUUGAAGAGUGAUCCUAAGUUUGGCCACAUUUGCCGCGAUUUCCUUGGUUACUUCUUUGAUCUUGUCCACCUGCUCUUGUAUAGAGGUUAGUAAAUUCUUGAUAUCUGCAAUGUUGUGCUGCAUCAGCGUCAGUUGGUCUGAAGAAGAGGAUUUGUUGGCUUCAGAUUUUAGUCCUCCACUGCUUUGAGUAGGGAUGACUUCUGAUACUUUGUCCUUUUUAAGCCAGGUUCCCUCAAUUAAAGUAUACGCCACCAUGGCAAAGGCAGUCUUGUCAUAGGUGCUGGAGAUAAUCUUUGGAACAUAGAGAGAUAGGUCCACUUUCAUGACUUUCAGGAUGUGAGAAGCUAGUAGACCAUAAGGCAGGUUGCUCGCAGAAGAGGAAACGUCCCUGAUACUUUCAAGCAUGUAUUGACGUACCCAGGCAAACCAGUUUAUAGCUUUACCAUUUAUCAAACAAUAGAGAACAAAUACAUCUCUGAGAGACAAAGUACUGAGUGAACCAGUACAGGGUAGCAAAGUGGUUGCGAUAAUGUGGGCUAGAACACGAUGUUCAAACUUCAAGUUCUUAGGACCUAUAUCAGGGGGGUUUUCAGACAGAACACUUUUGGCCUCAUCAAAAGAUACUUCAAAAUUAUCUGGCUAGGAAUAUUGCACAAAGAAGUUGUAUCUAACAAACUUUGUGGCAAAGAUUUUUUUCAAACUAAUAAGAAUCAAGGAUAAUACGAGUUCCUAAGACCAUGGUUUCUAGAUCUUCUUUAUCAUUCACAAAAAGGUUUGCAUAAAACAUGCACACAUGCUCUUCAUAGAUAGUAUCACCAACAGUAGCAAAUAGGGAGGCAAGUUUCUGAGUUUCAAAAAUAGACAGAACAUCACAGUGAGAGUUUUGCAUAGACUUUAAUCUUACAGUACAACCAAAUGAAAUUGACUUUCCUUUGAAGGCGACAAAUCUAGCCUUCUCUUCAGGUCCAUAGAAAAUCAUCUUGUCUUUAGGACCAAACUCAAUAUUUUUAGUUUUUCCCUUUUUCGUAGAGAAUUGUUUGGGGAUAGAUUCUAUUGGUCGUUUUCCUUCCCACUUUUGAGAUAUGAGGAUUUCUUCUUGAGAGCCACUUGAUUCUUCUUCUGUGAGUAAGUUGUCUGUGCUUUCGGAGGAUUCGAUAUCAACAGGAUCAUCUUUGGUUUUCUUGAAUCAGUGGCUUCUUUUGGGUAAGGAAGAGGAGGGAGAGGGUUUUGCUUUGGCCAUGAGUAAGAGAAAAAUAGAGAGAGAGAUUUGGUUCCUUUGAGAGAAUGGGAGAUACACUCGAGAGAGUAAGAGUUAAAAAGGGAAAUAAAGGAUGCCUCGAUUUCUGGAGAGACGUAUGAAAGACAAUUGAAAAGUUGCCUUCUGCAAAACUACACCGUCAGUUCAUCAUGAAUAGAAGUGAAGACUAAUUAAGUACUAAGAGAUUUUUUGGCACAAACAAUAACAUACAUGGAAUUAAAUAAAAGUAAUUAUGGGAUACAUUAACCAUGGUUAUGAGGGAAUAGUGCAAAUGCCAGUUUUGUUCAGAAGAUAAUGAAAUCUUUCUUCAAGUAAAGGUUUUGUAAAAAUAUCCGCCAACUGAUUUUCAGUAUUAACAAAUUCUAACACAAUAUCUCCUUUAGCAAUAUGAUCACGUAUAAAAUGAUGCUUGAUCUCAAUAUGCUUAGCCCUAGAAUGAUGCACAGAGCUUUUUGAUAAACAAAUUGCAUUAGUAUUGUCACACAUAAUCGGAACAGAAUUAAGAUGUAAAUCAAAAUCUAAACAGUUGAUGCAUGAUCCAUAGCAUUUGUGUGCAGCAGUUGCCUACUGCCAAAUAUUCAGCUUCUGUGGUGGAUAAGGCCACACAGCUUUGUUUCUUGCUGUGCCAGGAUACAAGAGAUUUUUCAAGUUGUUGACACGUUCCACUUGCGCUUUUUCUAUCAAAUUUAUCUCCUGCAAAAUCUGCAUCUGAAAAACCUUUGAGAUUGAAAUUUUUCAGACUUUCAUACCAUAAUCCAUAGUCGACUAUUCCUAUCAAAUAUCUGAUAAUAUGUGUAACAGCAGUCAAAUGAGUCUCUUUAGGAGCUGACUAAUAUCUAGCACAUUUGCAAACACUAAACAUAAUAUAUGGUUGACUAGCGGUAAGAUAGAGUAAUGAGCCAAUCAUACCUCGAUACAUUAUUUCAUUAAUACUCUUACCAUUUUUGUCUUCAUCCAAAGUAGUCAAUGGACUCAUAGGUGUUCCUAUUGCUUUUGCAUUGGAUAUACCAAACUUUUUGAUGAGUUCUUUCGUAUAUUUUAUUUGACUAAUGAAGAUUCCUUUCUGUAUUUGCUUGAUUUGAAGUCCAAGAAAGAAAGUUAAUUCUCCCAUCAUACUUAUUUCAAAUUCUCCUUUCAUGAUAUUUGAGAAAUUCUUGCACAAAACAGUAUUAGUACUGCCAAAAAUAAUAUCAUCUAUAUAAAUCUGUACAAUUAAGUUACCUAGAGAUGAUCGUUUGAUAAAAAGAGUAGUAUCAAUAUUACCUCUAUCGAAUCCAUGUUUAAUUAGGAAUGAGCUUAAUGUUUCAUACCAGGCUCUAGGAGCUUGCUUAAGGCCAUAUAAAGCUUUGGAUAAUUUGUAGACAUGAUUAGGAAAAGUUUCAUUUACAAAUCCUGGAGGUUGCUUAACGAAAACUUUCUCAUAAAUAAAUCCAUUCAAGAAUGCACUUUUCACAUCCAUCUGAAAUAGUUUGAAACACUUAUGAGCAAUAUAAGCUAAUAGAAUGUGAAUGGAUUCUAACCUGGCAACAUGGGAGAAAGUCUCCUCAUAAUCACUCUCUUCUUGUUGUGAAUAACCUUGAGCAACUAGUCUGGUUUUAUUUCGCAUGACUUGUCCGGAUUCGUUCAACUUAUUUAUGAAUACCCAUUUUGUUCCAAAAAUCAUUUGGUGGGUUAGGAAUGAGUUUCCAUACUUUGUUAUUCUCAAAUUGAUCAAGCUUUUCCUUCAUUGCAAUUAUCCAGCUUUUGUCACCAAGUGCUUCGUCCACCCUUUUUCUGUUCAAGUUGGGAGAUGAGAGCGAUAAUUGAUGUCUGCUUUAGAGAUCUUCUUGUCUUCAUCCCUUCCUGAGGGUCUCCAAUGAUAUACUUAUGAGGAUAUUCAGGUUCACUUUUUCAUUCAUUUGGGAUGACUAAUUCUGACUUUUUUUCAGUUGAGUUAGUUGGACCGAUCAAAGUGCACUCCUGGUUUUCUGUAAGAUGCAUAGUCGACUGAUCUUGCUAAUCAAUAACUUCAUCAGAGGCAAUUCCACUUGUAUCGAUAGACUUUGGCACUAUGGAAAUUUUUUCAUUUUCAGGAAGAUGAUCAUUCUUCAAAUGAGGGUUAGUAUCCACAAAAAUAACAUGUAUAGAUUCUUUAAUAGAUAAAGUACGCUUAUUAAAAACUCUAUAUGCUUUACUAGAGGGAGAGUAUCCGAUAAAAAUACCUUCAUCGCUUUUGGGAUCGAACUUAGCAAGAUUAUCUUUUUCAUUGUUGUGAAUAAAACACUUACAACCGAAGGGAUAAAAAUAACUGAUGUUGGGUCUUUUUCCUCUCCAUAGUUCAUAUGGAGUCUUCUUGAGUAUUGGUCGAAUAAGGCAUCUGUUGAUGAUAUGACAUAUUGUACUUACGGCUUCUGCCCAAAAGUAGUGUGAGAGAGAAUUUUUCACAAUCAUGGUUCUUGCCAUAUCUUAUAGAGUUCUGUUUUUACGUUCUACCACUCUAUUUUAUUGUGGCAAUCUUGGAAAAGAGAAAUUGUGAGAGAUCCCUUGAUCAUUGCAGAUGUUCUCAAAAGCUUUGCUUUUGAAUUCUCCUCCAUGAUCACUUCUUAUGGAGGAAAUGUAGUAACAUUUUUCACGCUAUACUUUCUUGCAAAAGACUUCAAAGUUUCGUAGAGCUUCAUCUUUGUGACUUAGAAAAAUAACCCAGGUGAAUCUAGAAAAAUCAUCUACUAUAAUAAAAGCAUAUUUUUUACCACCUAUGCUAGCAGUUCUAGUAGGUCCAAAAAGAUCCAUAUGCAAUAGUUGAAGAGGUUUUGUAGUGGAAACAACCUUUUUGGCUUUAAAUGAGGAUCUGGUUUAUUUUCCUAGUUGACAUGCAUCACAAAUUAGAUCUUUCAAAAAAUCUAGUUUUGAAAGACCGAUAACAAGAUCGUUUUUAGAAAGAUUAUGAAUAGUAUGCAUGCUGGCAUAACCAAGAUUUCUAUGCCAUACCCACGGGUCAUCAAGAAUGGAAGCUAGACAAAUUUGAUUACCAACGCUUUCCAAGUUGCUGAUAGUAUAAACAUUUUUGUCCCUAUUUCGAGAGAGAAUAACUUUACCUGAUUCAUCUUCAAUAAACCAACCAUAUUUUUUAAAACGAACCUCGUAGUCAUUGUCACAUAGUUGACUAAUGCUGAGAAGAUUGUACCCAAGUUUAUCAACCAGAUAUACUUUAUCUACAUCACAUGUUGAGCUGAGAGGAACUUUUCCAACGCCAAUUACAUUUCCUUUUGAUUUAUCUCCAAAUGUAACUGUUCCUCCAUCUAGUCUGGUGAUAAUUUUGAAUAAUUGUUUGUCACCAAUCAUAUGCUAGACCACGCGCUGUCAAGAUACCAUUUUUCUUUUCGAUUCUUCUUGCGGUGUUCCUGCAAAAUAAAAUUACUUGUUUUUAGGUAUCCAAUCCUGCUUGGGUCCUGAAUGGUUAGACUUCUGAGUGUUAUCUUGACUAACAGAUUUAGGUCGCCAGACCUAUCUCCUGUCUUUGAUCCUAUAACGGUAAGAAGUAUGACCAGGUUUUCCACAAUAAAAACACAAUGGAUUUUUUUGAUUUUUAGAGUCCCUUUUCUACUCUGAUUCUGUUCCUCCAUUGGUUAGUAUUGUGACCAUUUUUACCACAAUAAGAGCAUCCCUGAGAGUUUCUAGUUCUAAUCAAAGAUGUAUGAGGAACAGUCUGAUUUGAUUUGAUAGAACUAUGACUUGUGGAUUUUAGUAAUCCAUUCAGUUGAAGUUUAAGUUCAUUAACUUCAUCUUGAAGCAUUUCACGCUCAAUUUCACACACUUCCAGCUUCAAGGCCCAAUCUUUCUUUUCUCUUUGGAUUUUUCUAAGUUCAUUUAAAACUCUUUCAAUAUCUGCAAGAGCAAUAUCAACAAAUUCUUGAAGUUUAUAACAGUUGGGACAUGUAGGAAGACGUACCUCACUGGUUCCCUCGUCUACCAUUAGACAAAGUUCGCCGGUAUCUUCUUCCUCAUCUGCUCCUUUGUCUUCCAUGAGCCCAAGCUCACCUGAGUCUUUAUUGCUAUCUUCUUUUAUGAGCAUGAAACACAUAUUUGCAAUUUCUUCAUGGUCAGAUUCUUCUUCAUCGCUCCAUGCUCCAAAGGACUUCUUCUUUUGAAAGUUCCUGCUUGGCUUUUUGUUCCGUUCGGGGCAAUCAUCUUGAAUGUGUCCCACAUUCAUAGCAUCUUACAUCAUUUUUAUUAUUUUCAUUAUUCAUCCUUCCUUUUCUGAAGUUUGAUCUACCUCUCCUGCUAUAUCUGAUUUUCCUCAUCAUGCUUGUGACAACUUGGGAGAGUAUGGCUAUAUUUUCAUCUUGUUCUCCUCCUUCCUCUUCUUCUUCAUUUUCUGGUUCAGCAACAGUUGCUUUAAAGGCAACCGUUUUCUUCUUUUCUUGAUGAAUUUGCAUGUCCAAGUGAGUUUUCUCAAAGGUAAUUAGAUCACCUCUAAGUUCAUCAUAGGACAUUUUGUCAAGGUCCUGACAUUCUAGAGCAAUAACUUUGGGCUGCCAAAUUGUGAGUAGACUUCUAAGAAUUCUUCUGAUAUGUUCUCCGCUUUUGAUUGGUCUACCAAGAGAUUUUAGAUCUCCAAGGAUUUUGCUGAACCUGGAAAACAUUUCCUCCACUAAUUCUCCAUUUUUCAUUUGAAAUAGUUCAUAGUCACGAACUAGAAGAUUGAUCCUUGUUUCUUUUACCUUGUUGGUCCCUUCAUAUGUCACUUCCAAUUUAUCCCACAUAUCCUUAGCAGUUUCACAGCUCGAAAUCUUUUCAUACUCUUCUCCACUGAUAGCAUUAUACAUAAGAUUUUUUGCUUUGGCAUUCACAGUUAUGACAGCAACAUGUUCAUCAGUGUAAUCAUCUAAGUCAAGUGGGUCAGUUGAUACUAUGACUUGACCAUUCUCAUCUUUCUUUGAUGGAGUUGGAAGAUUUUCCUUUUUGAUCACAUGCCAAACUUUGAUGUCAUAUGACAUAGUGUAUGUUUUCAUCUGAACUUUCUAGUGAAAAAAGUGUUGCCCGUUGAAAUAUGGAGGUCGUACCUGAGAGGUCCCCUCUUGAAAUAAUGCACUAACGACUGUGUUUGAUCCCAUGAUCUUUUUCUCACUAGCUGUUAAGCAAAGUUUGUGAGCCUUGCUCUGAUACCAAUUGAAAGUACAAGGGGAGGGGGGGUGAAUUGUGGUCAAUUAAAACUUAGUUAACUAAAUAUGAGUUUAGUCGACUAGAUUCUGCACAGUGAACAGUUAAAGAGAAGUAAACCAAGCAAACUGAAAGAUAAUAGGACACAAUAAUUUUUAUACCGGUGAGGUACUUACAUCUAGUUUCCCUUGGGUCACAAGGGACUUCUUAGAUCUUUGAUAAUAGGUUACAAUGAUGAUGGUUUUGGUUCGCUCACCAUCAACAACAUUCAGUGAUAAUGCCUUUUGUAAUGUUGACACAACUUUCUUUUUGUGUUCUAUCUCUUCCUAUCUUUUAUGACACUUGUAGACUCAAGAAUACAAUGUUUGUACUAAGAACUAGAAAGGUUUAGAAUCAGUUUAUGUAGUUGCGCAUCCAAUCCUUGAGUAUGCCACUCUUCUUAUAGACCAGAUUUUAGAGCUGUUGUUGAUUUGUUUUUGAUAUUUGAUUCAUGACUCAUGCCUUUAAUUCCUUCAAGAAGGAUGGGCUGGAUUUAAUAAUCUAGUGUUCCAAGCCGAGAUCUAGAGAGUGCUUCCAUGCUCCAUGCUUUGUCGAAGAAAGGAGUAGAUGGGCUGGAUUAGUUUAUCCAGGGAGUGCUUUCCAUGCUCCAUGCUUUAUUGGGUAGAGGAACAAUACUUCAAGUUGUCUCCCAUUAUAUUAUGUUUCCCUUCCACUUUGAAUCUUCCUUCAUACAUGAUCUGCUAUUUGUAUUUGCAGGUGAGUUAUAUAUAAGGCAAUGGUUCAAAAUACAUAGCCAUUGAGCAGAUCUUCAUUCCUUUUUGGCAAUGCUUGCUUCACCUGAAUCUGCAUACACUAAUAUAACAUUAGUCAAGACUUCUUUAUGGAUAUUUGAUCAUUAUUAAAAUUCUACACUUAACCGUCAUUAGUUUAUCAUUCAUCAGAUGAAGUCAUAAAUUCCUAAUAUAUAGAGGAAAGAAAAUCCCUUGCAAAGGGAGCACUGUUGCAGGCUAAAAACCUUGACUUAAACUGGUGUUUCCGUUGAUGUUUUGAUGUAGAAACUAUAAGCUGAGCACACAAAUGAUAGAAAGGCAUGUAGGAGAGAUAUCUGGUUUGAGUUUGAGAUAAAUGAGGCAACUGCAGUAACUAGUAGCUGAGAUAAGAAUUUAGUUUGAGAAUGUUCAAAUGAAUAACUAGCUAGCUAGUUUCUUGCCACCUAUAACCAAGAUCCUGGAGCAUCUGUUAAGAAGUCAAAGGAGAAAAGCUCCUGGCCUCUGAUACUUUUGCAGCUGUGGCUACUCGUUGCUGCAUUGCUUGACAAUCGAUAAUUGGCUUACUUUUCUAAGAUGCUUCUUACAUCAAGCAACCCAAUCAUUAAACAUAAUGACCAUAAAUAUCUAAAUAACUUGUCCCUAUACGGUUAUCUGUGGGCACUACAAAUGCUAGCUAAACUGAUUUUCUGGCUUUCUACGAUUCUUGUUUUACCACUACAAGUGAUCUUGUUUAGAACCCUUUAUUCUGAUGAGAUAUAAGAGAGCAUCAACUCACUUGUCAAACCAAGAUCUUGCUAAAAGUAGUGGAGAACCCCAGCUAAAACAGUUUUAAGCAUUAUUUUGGCUAUAAUGAACACAUCCAGAGAGGGACAGCGCAUCUGCAAUCAUUCUUCUUUCUCUUAUGGUCACUAUCAUCAAUAUUGUUAUUAAAGGAUGAGUUGUUUCCUUUUUGAAAUAACUCGCUUGUAUAGAUAAGAAAAAUAUAUCUUAAUUAAGCACUAUUAGGGAAAAAAGCACAAGCUAAAACUUACCUUCUGACAGCACAAUAGGAAUAUGCAAAAUUCAAAAGCAACGGCUAUUUUUAUCAUUACCAUUAUGAUGUAGAUUCUGGCAAGUAUUAUUGAGGAAUAUUGGCCCCCUUUAUAGAAUGGUCACGCAUAUAGAAUAAAGGAUGAAACUUUGUCUGAGGUUCAUCUUGUCUGGUUAAAAAUGGUGAUUAGGAUUCCUCCUUAUCAAAUCCUAUGUCAACACUCGAGCUUCUGCGCUUAGGUGGAAUCAGCUACAGUUUCCAUGUCAGCAUUCACGGUCCCAAUAACUGGUCAAGCGACUUCAACUCAUUGUCAAUCUCGGAUUACUCUUGAUUUGCUUCACUAUGAAAACCAUGUUAUGUGUUUGUAUGAGAGGCCUGGAUUUUUUUCUGUGACUCAUCAAUGACCAUAGAUUGUGUAAUAUUCACUCAUUUCUUGCCACUUAUAACUGUGCGGAGAGUUUGUCAAUUCUUGGAUCUUUGCUUGAAAACUCUUACCAAUGCAUAAUAAACUAUCCCUUUAGUAAGGGAGUUCAGAUAUUAGCAUUCUCCUUUUAUGGCUUUUGAACCAAGGAAAAGUUAUAGUAUAACCUUACAAUCCUUUUCCUUUUAUGAAAAGAGAGAGAUCACUAAACUGAUUAUUGUCAAAGAUGGUUAACCUUAUAACUUAUCAUAAAAACAAUUACAGGGCUUCAAAGUCAUAAAGUUCAAAUCUUGUGCCAUGCAUCACAUUCAGAAUCUUCAGAGAAUUGAUGAAAAACAAAGGUAAACGUCGUGUGAUUGUAUACCUUAAUACAUUGUCUCAGGUACCAGUCAAGAAAGAGGUAUUUCUCUUAAAAUUGAUAUAUUAAAUACUGUCAGGAAUAACGCAACUCUCAUGUUUUGUUCCGAAUUAAUGUAUCACCUGUCUGUACCGAUAAAAGCUGUUAACAUUCUUAGCAAUCUAUUUGGUGAAACUAAGGACUGGUCUGAUAAUAUCUAGAGUGCUCUGAUUUCUAACACAUGCAUGACUAAACAGGAGAUGAAAAGAAGUCCACUUUUGAAUUAUUAAGAAGAAUAUUACACAAUAAGAAUAAUAGGACUUGAAUUUGCAUUAUGAGGGAAUUGAUUCCUUGGUGGUAAACUUUGUCACAGUUUUUGCCCCUUUAGAACCUGAACCAUUUUCCACCUGAACGACGUUAGCCUUCGUGUCAGGCAGUUGCUUGCAUUGGCAAUGUGGAUUACACACACUAAUCUAAUGUGUAAGCGUGAGAAUCCAAAUCAUCUCAAGGGUCCAUCUAUCUUAGCAAGAUCACGCGGUAAAAUAACCCCACCUUUCACAUAACAUCUUCCCCUCAUAACACCUACUAGAAAUGGAUACAGAACAAAGAAUAAUAUUUUGAGGAGCUCCUUUUUAGUAGAAUAAUGGACAGUCGAACAGGUAAGGAGGGGCAUUAUUGGACUUCUGCAAGAAAAUAUGCUUCACAUGCAUGAAUAUGACAGUCGACAACUUUAGAGAGCCAUACCUCUACAGUCAAUAAGGAAGGAAAGUAGUUGGUUUAUCCAACUCUUUUUUGGAAAAUUUGCGCUAUCUUGUGGAAUCUCAUUUAAGGAAACUGUUUGAAGUCACAAAACAGAUCAAAAAGUAAACUUUGGGCCCCAAACAAUGAGGUCUUCCAACUAUAUAUACCUCCCCAAACCAUUCAUCAAAAUUACCACUUACAGCAAACCAUUUCUUGAGCUUCAAGUUUACGUCUAGUUGAGAAGUUCAAGUCUUCAAAUUAUCAAGGUGAGGCAUCGAUGAUUUAGUUUCCUUUUGUGGUUCAUUUCAUUAUUCUUCCAGCUUCUACACAAAAAAGGAAGAAAAAUACAAUAACUUUAGUCUUGAGUCCAAGUUUUUCAAACAAACUAGGCCCUUAAAUACAAGAUUAAUGUGCUGCGAAAUUUUUUCCUAGAAUGAAAUAACUGUUCAUGUGUAAGCAAUGCAGUUCUAGCAUAUAGAACUGAGACCUUGUUGACUAUAACCAUGUAUAGAAUGAGGCCUCAAAGAUGGAUAACCAAUAAGAUUUAAUGGCCUAUUUUACUUCCCAUAUGAAAAUUUGUUCUCAUCAUAUUUUCAAGUUCAAUUUCAGGUAGACAUAAAAUGAGCAGUGGAGAUUGGAUGUGUGCUGCAUGCCAACACAUAAAUUUCAAGAAACGGGAUGCAUGCCAACGAUGCAGCUGUCCUAAAUAUGCAACGCCGGCUGAUGUUGCCAUGUAUGGACUAAACAAAGCAGAAGUCUUAGCUGGAGACUGGUAUUGCAGUGCGAUGAACUGUGGUUCUCACAACUAUGCGAGUCGAACAAACUGCUAUAGAUGUGGUGCCUUAAGAAGUGAUUAUUACGCUGUUGGGGCAGGAGUGAUGGCAUCAGCAGGUUAUGGAUAUGAUGCAAGUGCUAUUCCUGGUUGGAAGAGUGGUGAUUGGAUUUGCAGCAGGUCAGUUCAUAUUUACACAUUUCAUUUCCCAUGCAGUUCACUUACUCUAUAACAAUAACUACGCCUCAAUCCCGAGCAAGAUAGGCUUAACUGUAUGAAUCCUAAAGGUUAAUGUCUCUCCUUUUAAUCUCAUCUCUGUCCAAUACUGCAACAACACCAUCACUACUGUCCAAUAUCGCUCUAGUUAAACUCAUCUCAAACCAACAAUAUACAAAAUAAAAUUAAAAAAUACUAGAAGUUUACUAUAUUUUCUACUGGCAUAUAAAUCUCUGAUAAGACUAGGACUCCUAGAAAACAUUGUAUUAUGAGGAAUCAUCACAAGAUUGACUAGUUUUACGCUAACUGUUAGCCUGCCGCAAUUCUCCUCCUUUUACUACUGAUAUGUGCAGGUGACAUACUAUAGUUGGGAUUUUAACUAACAUAACUUCCUUGAUCGACAGAAUUGGAUGUGGUAUGCACAACUAUGCAAGCAGAGAAGAAUGUUAUAAAUGCAAGACACCUAGGGAUUUUUGUGAGACAUCUUCCAUGCGAUUCUGAUACUUCCUAUCAAUAUUUUACUUUCCAACACCAUUGUUUAUUUACUAACAUCUGUUAAUUUCUCUGUUUUUUAGGAGGUGAUCUGAGAGAAAGUGGAUUAUAUUGAGGGAUGCGGCGACAUUAAGUUAUUACUGAAGAUUUACCAGAAAUCAUAACCUUCAAUGACCUUUCUUCUUUUCCUUUUAGUUUUUCUUUUCUUGUUUAGUAGUUUCCUUGUAGUUGCUCAAAGAAGGGUUUGUAAGUCUAACUGCAUUGUAACUUUACAAAGUGUUCAAUGAAUGAAAUCCCUUCAGAUUUCGCAUUCUUUCUGUCUUUCAAGUUUCAACAACUGCAUUUGUAGGGGUGGUCCAAUAAAAUAAUUUUAUGUAUCCAAUGGAAGGAAUUGCUAGCGUAGGCUCGGGCCUUAUAUGUGUAAGAAAAGAAUAAAAGAAAGUAUAUAUAUAAAGAACCAGACCUACUGACUCUAAAUCCUAAAUACAGUGCUGUGGACUGUGGCUAGUGGCUUAGGUGAGUCUUCCCAACUUACUUUAAACAACACUUGUCACACCUCCUUUUUCUCGAUAGGGAUAGGGGAUAGGGGAUAAGGGAGUUUUUUUCAAUUUAAGUGACAUUAUUCGAAUUGAGAUUAUUUUUAUUUUUUUCAAAGUCGUCACUUGGAAUAUUUAGGGUGUUCCAAGUCACCGGUUUAUUUUAAAUCCCAAAUCGAGAAAAUUUGACUCGGUUUAUGUUCCGCAAACACAGAAGACCAGGUAAGGAAUUUUGUUAAUCCGAGAAAAGGUGCCAGACACUCGCGAAUUUCAUGAUUUUAGCACGGUCGCUUUAAUCAUACCUGGUUUAAUUAGAUUGUUUUAUCACGUAUUUUAAAACCUAAGUGCAUUUUACCUUUUACCGCUUUUAAUUAUGGCGUUUAUGGAUUUAAUCUUUGAAACAGACUACAUGUGUGUAAGUCUGCUUCGUUUGGGGCACUAAAAUCAUGUCACGCGAACGUGUACACAAUUAAUUGUGCUUUAUUAAUUUAAGAUUGUUUGGUCGAAGUUGCGCGAACGCAUACCUCGAUUUAAUUUUGGAUAUCGGGAUCACGUCACGCGGACAUGUACGCAUUCACGAUAGUAGUUUAAAAUCCGUGCCUAAAGCAUUUCUACGAGUGUUUAAUUAAGUCAUUUUAUUUACUAAGAUUGUUUGACCAUGAUCACACGAACAUGUACCUUGGUUUGUUUUUGGCAUCACAACUAUGUCACGCGUGCGUGUACAUGAUUGUAAUAAUUAAGUUGAUUAUAAAUACCUUGAGUUAUGCUUAUGUCUCUAAACUAAAUAUUCUAUGUCAUAUGGCUAAGUGUAAAGGUUUAAUACUAGGUGAUAUGUUUGUUUGUAUUAGAUGGGGGCAGCCUAUGUAUUAUCUGUCAAACAGGCCCAGAUUUAAAGUUUGAGGCCCGAUGAGGAUUGAGUCCAAAUGAACUUUAGCCCAAGACAUAUAUUUUCGUUAUUGGGCUUAGCUAAUGGAUUCAGUUCAAAAGGAUUUGGGCUUGUUUGAGUCUAAUUGACUGCCCAAUGCAUAUUUUAAGGCAGCUAAAUGAAUUCAAUCCAAACGAUUUGGGCCUAGUGAUCAUGGAGUCCAAAUGACUCUGGCCCAAUACCAUGUUGUUAAGCAAUCAAUCAAUUAAACACAUUUAAUUCAGAAAGAUCUAGGGCUAAUGAUGAGUCCAAAUGACUGUGACUUAAUGUUCAAUUUUAUAGACAACUAAAUGAAAUUAACUAAAGGCAUUUGGGCUUGGUGAUAAUGAGCCCAUGUGACUUUGGCACAACUCAAUGUUAUUAAGCAUUCAGUCAAUUAAACACAUUUAAUUCAGAAAGAUCUGGGCCUGAUGAUGAGUCCAAAUGACUCUGGCCCAAUGUUCAUUUUUAUGGACAACUAAAUAAAAUUAACUAAAGAUAUUUGGGCCUGGUGAUAAUGAGUCCAUGUGACUCUGGCCCAGUGCAUAAUUGUGUGAAUGAGUUUGAAAUUAAAAUUUAUAACAACAAUUAUCAGAUUUUACUUAUAUUUUGUUUAUCUUUUAAAACAGAAAACUAAAAAGGGUCUGGGGACACGAACCAAAAUUAAAAUUGGAUAAUUUCCUAUUAAUUGCUUAAAUCUCCUAUUUCUUAUAUUAACUUAUGUUAAAGUGAUAAGUUUUAAAACUCAUUUGCAUUUGAAAAUCUUAAAGUGUAAAGGCCUUUAAUCAACUCAUUUUUAUUAGCCAAAGACCCAGAAUACAAUCUUAUGGACCCAAUUGAUUUGGGCCUGAAUUCGUACCUUGAUUACUGUUAGGUUGCUUGUAAAAUCCAGCUUUUUAUGAUUUUAAACUAAUAGCAUUGGAAUUAGUAUAUUUUAAUUGUUUAAUAACAUAGUAAAGCUACUAACUAACGCAUUGCAUGAGAGGAUAUAAUAUAAAACAAAAUUAAAUUAUUACAUCUCACUAACAUGGACAGUGAUAACAAAUCUGUCUACUACUAAUCUAACAAAUUUUCUAGAAAAAAGAAAGAUUUUCUCUUUUUAACUAUUCGAACGUACCAAUCUUAUGACUAUAUGAAGCUUUAAACAGAUUUUAUAAUUUUUUCAGAACCCUUUAAAAUGAAGCUAAUAUAACUUAAAUUGCCUAAAACAGUGUAAAUAAUUAACUCUACAUGCUUUCAUACACAACUCUCAACCAAACAACUUCAAACAAUAUGAUUCAUGCAGUGCUCAGAUGAAGUAGAAAUUCUUGAUAACCAGCAAAAAUAAAACUUUACAUUGUUAAAAGAAAAUACCUUGAUAGCAGCAAGCAAACUACAGAUAAGAAAAUAAGUAUCUGAAAGCUUGAAGUAAAACAGCAGCAAUAAAACCCAAUAGAAUAAGAAGACGACCAGAUUUUUAAAAAUAGGAAAGGAAUGUAUAUUUUUGAUUCUCAAAGAUCAAGGUUGAUUUUCAAAAGUUUUUCUUUUGAAAGAGAGCAAAAUCUUAAGGCAGUCUAUAUGUGUCCAUAAUGUGUCUUCAUAUCCUUUUCUAAUGAAGAAAG